GUGGGGAAUCUUGCGCAAUGGGCGAAAGCCUGACGCAGCCAUGCCGCGUGAAUGAUGAAGGUCUUAGGAUUGUAAAAUUCUUUCACCGGGGACGAUAAUGACGGUACCCGGAGAAGAAGCUCCGGCUAACUUCGUGCCAGCAGCCGCGGUAAUACGAAGGGGGCUAGCGUUGCUCGGAAUUACUGGGCGUAAAGGGCGCGUAGGCGGACAGCUUAGUCAGAGGUGAAAGCCCAGGGCUCAACCUUGGAAUUGCCUUUGAUACUGGCUGUCUUGAGUUUGGGAGAGGUGAGUGGAACUCCGAGUGUAGAGGUGAAAUUCGUAGAUAUUCGGAAGAACACCAGUGGCGAAGGCGACUCACUGGCCCAAUACUGACGCUGAGGCGCGAAAGCGUGGGGAGCAAACAGGAUUAGAAACCCUGGUAGUCC
rnacentral:rRNA from 1 species